rnacentral:lncRNA from 1 species
CGUGCCUCUCAACAUCCAGCAGAAUGUGGGAAUAUCUAUGCCUUGAUAGGUCUUCAGUUACUCAUGGUGAAACAUAUUGCUGAGUUGAGUAAAUAUUUCCUUCCAUAAAGGUAAAUAAGCAUCUCAAGAGCAAGUUUCUACAUUUUGUAUUUCCCUGUUUUAUUUCUGUAAAAUUGUGCAACCAAGAAUUAUGACCUACUGAUAUUAGAAUAAAAUUUGCAGAAGUUUG